rnacentral:misc_RNA from 1 species
GAUGAAGAACGCAGCGAAAUGCGAUACGUAAUGUGAAUUGCAGAAUUCAGUGAAUCAUCGAAUCUUUGAACGCAUAUUGCGCUCUUUGGUAUUCCGAAGAGCAUGCUUGUUUGAGUAUCAGUAAACACCUCAAAGCUUUUGGAUUUUUUAAUCGAAAAGCUUUGGACUUGAGCAAUCCCAACACCAAUCUUUUUGAGAUCGGUGGCGGGUUGCUUGAAAUGCAGGUGCAGCUGGACAUUCUCCUGAGCUAAAAGCAUAUUCAUUUAGUCCCGUCAAACGGAUUAUUACUUUUGCUGCAGCUAACAUAAAGGGAGUUUGACCGUAUUGGCUGACUGAUGCAGGAUUUCACAAGGGUCGGCAACGAUUCUUGUUAAACUCGAUCUCAAAUCAAGUAAGACUGCCCGCUGAACUUAAGCAUAUCAAUAAGCGGAGGA